ACAACAACAUUCGGACCGUCGGUCUACCGAGCAAAAUAUCACCCGCUCGGUGGAAGAUCUUCCCUUUGUCGUAUAUC
rnacentral:pre_miRNA from 1 species